UACGUAGGGACCAAGCGUUUGUCCCGGAAUCAUUGGGCGUAAAGCGCGCGUAGGUGGCCAUUUAAGUCCGCUGUGAAAGUCAGAGGCUCAACCUUUGAAAGCCGGUGGAUACUGGAUGCUAGAGUACGGAAGAGGCGAGUGAAUUCCUGGUGUAGCGGUGGAAUGCGCAGAUAUCAGGAGGAACACCAUAGCGAAGGCAGCUCGCUGGGACGUUACUGACACUAAGGCGCGAAAGCGUGGGGAGCGAACAGG
rnacentral:rRNA from 1 species